rnacentral:rRNA from 1 species
UACGGAGGAUGCAAGCGUUAUCCGGAUUUAUUGGGUUUAAAGGGUGCGUAGGCUGUUCGCCAAGUCAGUGGUGAAAUGCCGGGGCUUAACCCUGGAACUGCCAUUGAUACUGACGGGCUUGAAUGCGGAUGCCGUGGGAGGAAUGAGUAGUGUAGCGGUGAAGUGCAUAGAUAUUACUCAGAACACCGGUUGCGAAGGCAUCUCACGAAUCCGCUAUUGACGCUGAGGCACGAAAGCGUGGGGAUCAAAC